rnacentral:rRNA from 1 species
GAUGAACGCUGGCGGCGUGCCUAAUACAUGCAAGUCGAGCGAAUGGAUUAAGAGCUUGCUCUUAUGAAGUUAGCGGCGGACGGGUGAGUAACACGUGGGUAACCUGCCCAUAAGACUGGGAUAACUCCGGGAAACCGGGGCUAAUACCGGAUAACAUUUUGAACCGCAUGGUUCGAAAUUGAAAGGCGGCUUCGGCUGUCACUUAUGGAUGGACCCGCGUCGCAGUAGCUAGUUGGUGAGGUAACGGCUCACCAAGGCAACGAUGCGUAGCCGACCUGGGAGGGUGAUCGGCCAGCCUGGGAAUGAGCAGCGGCCCAGACUCCUACGGGAGGCAGCAGUAGGGAAUCUUCCGCAAUGGACGAAAGUCUGACGGAGCAACGCCGCGUGAGUGAUGAAGGCUUUCGGGUCGUAAAACUCUGUUGUUAGGGAAGAACAAGUGCUAGUUGAAUAAGCUGACACCUUGACGGUACCUAACCAGAAAGCCACGGCUAACUACGUGCCAGCCGCCGCGGUAA